rnacentral:rRNA from 1 species
GAUGAACGCUGGCGGCGUGCCUAAUACAUGCAAGUCGAGCGAACAGACGAGGAGCUUGCUCCUCUGACGUUAGCGGCGGACGGGUGAGUAACACGUGGAUAACCUACCUAUAAGACUGGGAUAACUUCGGGAAACCGGAGCUAAUACCGGAUAAUAUAUUGAACCGCAUGGUUCAAUAGUGAAAGACGGUUUUGCUGUCACUUAUAGAUGGAUCCGCGCCGCAUUAGCUAGUUGGUAAGGUAACGGCUUACCAAGGCGACGAUGCGUAGCCGACCUGAGAGGGGUGAUCGCCCAACUUGGAAGUGAGACACGGUCCAGACUCCUAGGGGAGGCAGCAGUAGGGAAUCUUCCGAAAUGGGCGAAAGCCUGACGGAGCAACGCCGGGGGAGUGAAGAAGGUCUUCGGAUCGUAAAACUCUGUUAUUAGGGAAGAACAAAUGUGUAAGUAACUAUGCACUUCUUGACGGUACCUAAGCAAAAAGCCACGGCUAACUACGU